rnacentral:lncRNA from 1 species
AUACAUAUCAGCAGUAUCACAAAUCCAAUAUGUUGCCUUUCAAACCCAGGUGUCGUGACUCCCUCUCUUCUCAAGUAUAUAAAAGAUCCAUGCUUUUCCAAUUAGCCGGUUUGGUUAGUUUCUCGUUUGAUUCAGGUUUCUCUAGUUUUAGCUUUGGUGGGUUCUAUUGUUCCUUUUCCAUGCUUUUGUUGCUUCGGUUUUGAUGUUUGGAAUAUUUGUGGUUUGUAGGACGUUUCUUGUGGACUUUCCAAACGAAUUUUCAUGGGUUAUUUCUGAAGCCAUCUCCGCGUGGAAAGGUUGCAAUCGUGCCUCACUGAAAUAGGAAAUUAGUCGCAAGUCUCUUCCUCUCUAACACGAACUCCCUCGAAAGCAAGGGAUUUAGGCGAGGUAUGAUCGCCGGUUUGAUGACUUCUGCUUUGAUUUAUAGUUGGAUUUGCUUGAUUUUUAAUUUAUUUAUUUUCAAUAUGAUGAUGGGUUUUAUGUAAUUUAUGGCAUCAACCAGUC